CAAUGUAAGAAUAGAAUGAAUAAAAGUAUCCAGGACAACACACUUUCUGCACCACGUCAUCCAGCCAGCUUCCCAUAAUCCCUUUCUCAUCGUCUCUCUUUCCACAUAGUAGCAAUACUCCCCGACGUUACACCUGCACCACACGAGUAUUUUUGAUUACAUCUUUCUUUCAGGUGAGUACAUAUGUUGGUCUACGAGGGACACCGGCGAGGGAGCACCUUUAGCCUACGUGAGUGUUAGCCUUCAUUGGUUACGUUAGGGAAAGCCUGUACUAAUUUUGCCUUCCCUUUCAGGUCAAGUAAACUAUUUCUCUCAGUUUCUUUCAGGCAGGAUCCACGUGCAUCCCUUCGUUACGUGUCAUUUUUCUGCAGUUACGUGUCGGUUUUCUGCAGCCGUCACCUGUUCGCUCUCAGCAGUCUGUCGCCAAGGCUCCAGGUAGUCGCUGCUCCAUCACUUGUAUGAACAUAUCAGCAUAAGUGAUCAAGGAAAGAAGGCAGGAGUGCGCCAGAAAAUGUUUCCUGAAGUCUUUGACCUCUGCUUCUGACUUGCCUGAGGGACAGACUGAACUCGGUGCAUCAGUUCAGGCUAGUUUCUUUGUCUCCCUCCGCUUACACCUCCUCGAGCACUAACACUGACGUUGCCAUGGAAAGAAAUGUGUGCAAGAGGCCCAAACAAGAAGAGACACAGCCAGCUGCCUCUCACCCUAACAUUUUUCUUUCAUUCUUGUCCGCGAGUUUCGAGUUAAAAGUUGUUACGAAUCCGGUAAAUUUACGGGCGAUUCUGGCUGGCCUCCCGAUGCCUUGGUGUGCUGGGUGCGAACACUGCUGCUGUUGGAGCUUGUUUCUCACGGACGCCAGAAGUUUGUCUUCCUGGAUUAGUUUUCUGCGCCUCAUGUCUACGUGUCUCCCGUGAGAAUGACACGUGCCGCACCUUACCAAGCGGACUCCUCACUAGAAAUUGCACACGUUUAUGUAUUUAUUUUGUUAUUUAGGUACAUAAAUAAGGUCAAGUUAAAGAAUGGGCCUCGUAGCAAUGGUAAAAACCUUCAUCAUCCAGCAACGCCUGUAUCGGGCGAGGCUGUGGGAAUUAAUUGUGUUCAUGUAUGCUUUUAGACCUUAUCAAAAGUAUCUCAUGUUAGUAUAAAUCAUGACAGCUAAACAAAUAUAUCUACCUACACGGGGUAAGAAAAGACAGAGACUUAAGGAUAGACCGAUAGAUACAGACACAGUAAAUAGAUAGACAGAUAGAG